rnacentral:rRNA from 1 species
UACGUAGGGGGCGAGCGUUGUCCGGAGUUACUGGGCGUAAAGGGCAUGCAGGCGGUCUGACGCGUUUUGUGUGACAGCGGGUGGCUCAACUACCCGAGCAUGCGAAAGACGGUUGGACUUGAGGGCUCGAGAGGGACACGGAAUUCCGGGUGGAGUGGUGAAAUGCGUAGAUAUCAGGAGGAACACCGGUGGCGAAGGCGGGUCUCUGGGCCGAUACUGACGCUGAGAAGCGAAAGCGUGGGGAGCGAACAGG